rnacentral:lncRNA from 1 species
CUCCUAUCCCAACAAGCCAGAAAACCGUGCUGAUCCUUAUAAAGAUGCCAGGCUUAAGGGGGUGGCAGGUGCCCCUUCUUGGUAUGGGUACUUUGCUCUGUGUCUCUUGUCCUGAUUGAAACAGGUUGUCACUGACCUUCUCAGGACAUUCACUACAUAGCUGGGGUCCAGCCACCUGAGGGACAUGGAAAGGCCGCCAUCGAAUGCCUGCAGCAUGAGAAGUCCCUCCCUCUGCUCUAUCUUUGUAAUCACUAAGAAUGUUGAUUCAUUAAAGUCCAAACUUCUGCUGGCACCAUCUUGGCCUCCCUGCCCUGCUUUGGCCUCUCAUGGUCACCUCCAUAAAAGCUCUGGGUGAGUCAGCAAUAUGAGAAAAAAAAGGAAAGAGGUGUGUUUCUGGCUCUCGCACACAUGACUCUGAGCAAGGAAGGACUGCAAACAAAGGCUUCGAGCUGAAACUGAAGGGUGUGGGAAGCUUCGCAGUGCCGGGCAAGCAAGGUUGAAGCAGCGUGUUCAGCAGGCUAUCUGACAACACACCCACAAGCCCAGUGCUUCUGGAGACUGAGACAACAGAAUUUGGAGUUUAAGGCCAGCCUGGCCAUAAACUGUGACCAAGUGACCAAUGCCAGAGGUAUCACAAGUACUCCGCCUUUCUUCAGACAAUGCACUCUGCUUCCAGGCUGUCAAGUUUCCAUGCUUCAAUAUCCG